rnacentral:tRNA from 1 species
GUAGACGUUAGCUCAGUGGUUAGAGCACAGGCCUCUGGCUCUCGGGUCCGCGAAUUCGAGUCCCGUCGUCUACU